GACGAACGCUGGCGGCGUGCUUAACACAUGCAAGUCGAACGAAGAGCGAUGGAAGCUUGCUUCUAUCAAUCUUAGUGGCGAACGGGUGAGUAACGCGUAAUCAACCUGCCCUUCAGAGGGGGACAACAGUUGGAAACGACUGCUAAUGCCGCAUACGAUCUGACCUCGGCAUCGAGGAUAGAUGAAAGGUGGCCUCUAUUUAUAAGCUAUCACUGAAGGAGGGGAUUGCGUCUGAUUAGCUAGUUGGAGGGGUAACGGCCCGCCAAGGCGAUGAUCAGUAGCCGGGCUGAGAGGAUGAACGGCCACAUUGGGACUGGGACACGGCCCAGACUCCUACGGGAGGCAGCAGUGGGGAAUCUUCCGCAAUGGACGAAAGUCUGACGGAGCAACGCCGCGUGAGUGAUGACGGCCUUCGGGUUGUAAAGCUCUGUUAAUCGGGACGAAAGGCCUUCUUGCGAAUAGUUAGAAGGAUUGACGGUACCGGAAUAGAAAGCCACGGCUAACUACGUG
rnacentral:rRNA from 1 species